UACAUCUUAGUCAGCUGAGCUGGAGACAAAUUAUGAGAACAGCAAGGUCUGACUACAUCCUUAUGCAACCAGGAAAAAAAUCCCUCUUUCUGUUGACAGACAGCUCAGUGCUCUGCCACUGCAGUUCAGCUGGAAAAGGCAGAAACGGGGGAUGCUGAAGCGUGGCUCACCUCUCCUCGCUGCUCCCAGAUGGCUUUUGGACCACUGCUGCUCCACUGCAUAUAGCCACAUGCCAGGGCCCCCUCGCCAGCUCCCCAAAGCGUGUCUUGCCUCUGGGUCUCCAUAGCCGUGGCACAGACAGAAGCCUCCCUCAUGUCAUUGUGGAAAAGCAUUGAGAGGCAGAAGCAGAGGGAGCUGAAUGUUUCUACUACUUUUCAGGGCAGAAGGUGCCUGAAGGGACAGGAAUUGUUUCCAGACCUAGAAGCCGGUCGAAGAACAGCAUUGCCACAAAAUGAAGACAGGAAAUCCUAGCAUACUGACUGGGAACCUGCUUUAACCAGGGGCUGAGCAGAUUUUUUACUAUUAUGAGAAGCAGAUGAGAGACUGUCAUUAAAAAUAAUAGAAAACAUAUGUGAUGUGUUUUCACAGAGUGAAAAUAGUGUGGAAGUUCCACAUAUGAUCAUGCCUACACACUGAACUCAUGUGGAUAGCUUUGCUUUGAUGAUGGUUCCAAACAAGCGAGGAGUCUGCUGGCGUUUUCUUGGAAAAAAUAAAAUUUGUGAUGGAGUGUCA
rnacentral:lncRNA from 1 species